GGUGAACGCUGGCAGCGUGCCUAAUACAUGCAAGUCGAGCGAACGGACGAGAAGCUUGCUUCUCUGAUGUUAGCGGCGGACGGGUGAGUAACACGUGGAUAACCUACCUAUAAGACUGGGAUAACUUCGGGAAACCGUAGCUAAUACCGGAUAAUAUUUUGAACCGCAUGGUUCAAAAGUGAAAGACGGUCUUGCUGUCACUUAUAGAUGGAUCCGCGCUGCAUUAGCAAGUUGGUAAGGUAACGGCUUACCAAGGCAACGAUGCAUAGCCGACCUGAGAGGGUGAUCGGCCACACUGGAACUGAGACACGGUCCAGACUCCUACGGGAGGCAGCAGUAGGGAAUCUUCCGCAAUGGGCGAAAGCCUGACGGAGCAACGCCGCGUGAGUGAUGAAGGUCUUCGGAUCGUAAAACUCUGUUAUUAGGGAAGAACAUAUGUGUAAGUAACUGUGCACAUCUUGACGGUACCUAAUCAGAAAGCCACGGCUAACUACGUG
rnacentral:rRNA from 1 species